UGAUGUUUCCCUUUUUUGUUGAUCUUUAUCACUGACUAGAGGACAAGACUGCCUUUCUUAUCUGCUUUCUGUUAUACAUAUAUAUGCAUAUUUAUAUUGUUUAUUCUUUAUGAUUUGCAGCUUCGCCAUUUCUGUGAUGCGUGGUCAAAUUUAGCUAGUGCAUAUAUGAGGAAAGGAAGACUUAAUGAGGCAGCCCGAUGUUGUCACCAGGCUCUUGCAUUGAACCCUCGCUUGGUUGAUGCUCAUAGCAACCUUGGCAAUCUGAUGAAGGCACAAAGGCUUAGUACAAGAAUUUGUCAGAAAAUGCAUAUGUUCUUGUGGCAGAGGUAUUGAAGAAAAUGCAUAUAUUCUGUAGGCAUUAAGCUCCCUUAUUGCUUCACUACUUGUGAAAGAAAAGGAUCUUCAACUUCUCUCUGACUGGUCCAAUUCCUCCUGCUUUGGGUAAUUUGACCAUGUUCAAAAUUUUGUAUUUUUUUUAUAAAUCAGAUUUCAGGUACAAUUCCUACAGAAUUAUGGAAUCUCAAGAAUUUGGUUGAGUUGAUG